GAUAAAAAAGAGCAUGAGCAAGUAAAAGAAGACAACCAUUUCUCUCAACAAACUCAACUUUGCUUCUUUUGUUUGUUUGUGUUUGUUGUUAUUCGUUGUUCCUUUGUUUCUCUUUCUUCUUUCUCUU
rnacentral:ribozyme from 13 species